rnacentral:lncRNA from 1 species
UCCAAAUCCUUUCUAAGUGAAAUGCUCCCUGCCUUGCCCUGGUCUCCAAUUUUUCAGAUAAAUCCAUCCCCAAGGAAACAGUGUCACCAGCUUAAUAAAAUGUACUUUCUUCUUUUUUUGGCUGCAUUUUACCAAAAUGAGUGAUUCAAUUCCUUAGGAAAGAUUGCUACUAGUGUUACACUGUCUGAUGACUGGGAAUCCCGCUUGCGAUUGUUCUGGGACCAACAGAUGGUGAGGAAUCGAACUCAGGACCUUUCACUUACCAGGCAGGCACUUGUGCCACUGAGAUAUAUUCCUGGUUGUUUGUAUGAAUAAUUCAAGCAACGCAUGCUAUUAGAGAAGACCCAGGAGCUGUGCUUUGGAAGAUCAUGAAGGCCGUGUUUUAGAGCAAGAGAGAGAAACCCGUGAUUUUGGAGAUGGAAGCUGGCAGCUGGAGCCACAGCCCCACCUCUCAGCUGGCAAAACACAUUGUGUGCUCCCUGGCAGCAGAAAGAGAUGGGACUGUUUGUGUCCAGAGUGGAAAGUUGCACUUUUAGGUGGAGCAAACACACCUUGGCAGGCCGCAUCUGCAGCAAGAGGAGGUGAGGCAGGUUGUCUACAAAGUCUGGGGACUAAAUAAAAAGUGGAUGAAGACCAGAAGUCAUUCUCCAGACAGCUAAUAAAGCAUCGGUGCUUUUACAUUUGUGAGGCAUACAUCCUGUGACCUUUGAAAAUACCCAACUUUGCAAAUUCAAUUGUAAUAUGUAGUUGUCCCCUAAAAUGCAAUAAAGUAUAACUGAAUAUGUAACUGACCUCUUCACAUCAUUAAUGCUUUUAUGCAAAAGGAAUAAAGUAAUUUAGAAAGCUGUGAAAAUACCACCAUUGCUGAAACAUUCACAAAUCACUUUCACAGGUUUCUGCGCGUAUCCCGCCCUGUAACUGCCCGCGCUGUAUAUUAGAGUACCUGCCAAGCUUUCUAAUCCUUAUUCUAUCUGUACUAGCAUAUCAUAAAGUCACAGAAGGAUGUCAUUACUUCAGAAUAACAAGUCCGAU